CCCCCUCGAGUAACAUCAAUCCCCGCUCCUUAAUUCAGAAACCGAACCCCGCUCCUCUUCCUUAUAUCAAUUUCACAAAUUCCAAACCCUAGAUCCACCUCAAAGUCCAACCUCCACCAUUUGCCACCAGAAUCCAAACCCUAAUUUUCAGUUCCCCCUAACGGAUUCCAAUCCAGAGACCCUGCUUUCCAGAUGACUCAAUCCCACUUGAGCUCCGAUCCGUCGAAUUGAAGAGAUUUCAUCUAGAGAGAGAAAGCUGAAGAAUUUUAGAGAGAGAAAGAGACAGAGGUGAAGGGAGAAAUCGAAGAAAGAGAGACAGCAGAAGGAAGAAUUGUGUUUGGGUACUUGGUAGAACAGUGACGGUCAGAUCGGGCAACCGUGUGAUAG
rnacentral:misc_RNA from 1 species